GAUGCUAUAUAUUGCAUAUCUUGCAAAAAAAUUGGUUCGAUGAGAUGAAUCAAUGAUGAUGAUGAAUGGAUGAUGAUGAUGAAUAUGUGACGAAUAGAUGAUGAUGAUGAUAGUUUUUUGCCUACAUGAUGCAAAAAUAAAUGAAUGCAUGUUUAAAUGUUUUAAAUAUGCUCUAUGAGUUGUGAUGUUCUAAUUUUUUGUCGUGAUGGAAUUUGCAGGCUUUGUGGUGUUGCAUUUCAUCGGAGUGACCGCCGUCCGACGCAUUGGUCCCUGAGCAUCCCUCUGUUGUUCUACUCCUUCCCCUAAAACCGAGGAGGAUGGCAGAUAAUCAGUGGAUGUACAGUGGUUUUAUCCGUCGGACUCGAGUUACAUCAGAGUGGAUCGCGAAAACUGAUGUGUAUUUGAAGGAGAUAUUUCAUCAGCCAUUGUUAUUCGAGCUCUGGGGUGAAAGCCUAGGUCUAACUUGAGAUGGUUAUAUCUGACAAUGGCGAUAUUUUUAUGUCGUUCCUUUGUUGAAGGCAAUGCUCGGAUAUGCUCAGACUGCUUCUUCAGGGUGAAAACCUAUAUUCUGGCCUUAUGUGGUUGGUCCGGUGACGGCGAUGUUUGAGAGUGGCUCUCUUCGUGAAGGCGUUGUUGAAGAAACCUCAUCGUCCGUGUGGUGUCUUGAAAUUGUUGGUGUAAAUAUGGUCAUUGUUGUAAUUUGUCGAAGGCGGAUUUAGUCGCUCUGUUUUUCUUUUCUUCGCCAACGCAUAGCUUUGGUAGUAUAUGACUUCGCUAUUUGUUGGUGUUUUUGUGUGCGUGCGUUGGUGAUGACUUUCUGCAUCCUAGCUAUGCAGAGACUGUGUGUACUCAUUAUGUGUUGUAUCCUCUUGAUACUUCAUUUGAGUUAACAAAAUU